UUUACUACUAAUGUGCGGUGUGUUUGCUGCUGAUGAAGAUGAAGUGAAGUCAGUGUCAGUGAUGGAGGGAGAUUCUGUCACUCUGAACCCUGAUCUCACUCAAAUACAGGAAGUUAUUCAGAUAAAAUGGAUGUUUGGAGAUCCAAUCAUUGCUCAAAUCAAUAGAAAAGUGACCUUCUAUCCCAGUCACACUGAGAUAUUCAGAGGCAGACUGCAGCUGGAUCAAACUGGAUUUCUCACAAUCAACAACAUGAGAAUUAAACACUCUGGGGCUUUAUAAAAUACAGGUCAUCCAAAGAGCUGGGAUUUCAAAUAUAAAAUUCACAGUUACUGUCUAUGAGUCACCAUCUGCUGUUGAUGCUGGUGUUACUGACAUGAAGCUCAUGUCAGUGAAGGAGGGAGAUCCUGUUCAUUCUUCAGACUGAUGUUCCUCAACUAACCGGAGAUGAGCUGAUAGUGUGGAGGUUUGGAGAUAAGGGAAAACUCAUAGCUAAACAUGAUAUAGAGACCAAAAUCCCACCAUUAUAUGAUGAAACUGAUGAGAGAUUAAGAGACAGACUUAAACUGAAUCAUCAGACUGGAUCUCUGACCAUAACAAACACCAGAACCACAGACUCUGGACACUAUACAGUGAAAAUCAGCAGCAACAAACAGACCUUAUACCAGAAAUACAUUGUUACUGUCAGUGAACCAGGUCUGUCUCCAGCUGCUGUAGCAGGGAUUGUUGUUGCAGGGAUUGUUGUUGUUGUUCUCCUGGUGGCUGCAGCAGCUACUGGUUUGAUUUACCAUCGCCAAACGAUCGCAGAAAUGCGUAAGUAUUACAGCUGAUAAAGUGACAGAAAAAAUAGCUCUACUGUGUGAAAGAAUGGAUUUAAAAUCUGU